CAAAUAUUCCUGGGCCAGUGGGAUGUGACGGAUCGCAGAUGUAGUUUGCCCUUAUCGGAUUGGGUGGGCUGCUGAGCGGUUCCAGGAAAUAGCCCCACAUCAGACCGUACCCUAAACCGACACAGGUGGACUGGUAGAGUAUACCAAGGCGCUUGAGAGAACCACGUUAAAGGAACUCGGCAAAAUGCCUCCGUAAGUUCGCGAGAAGGAGGCCCCAUAUGUACGCAAGUAUGUGUGGGGGGCACAAACUAGGGGGUGGCGACUGUUUACUUAAAACACAGGGCUGUGCGAAGCCGUAAGGCGACGUAUACAGUCUGACGCCUGCCCGGUGCUGGAAGAUUAAGAGGAGGGGUGCAAGCUCUGAAUUGAAGUCCCAGUAAACGGCGGCCGUAACGAUAACGGUCCUAAGGUAGCGAAAUUCCUUGUCGGGUAAGUUCCGACCUGCACGAAUGGCGUAACGAUCUCCCCGCUGUCUCUAACGUGGACUCAGCGAAAUUGAACUGUGUGUCAAGAUGCACACUACCCGCGGUUAGACGGAAAGACCCCAUGAACCUUUACUCCAGCUUUGCACUGGUAUCAGGAUUGUGAUGUGCAGGAUAGGUGGUAGGCAUUGAAGCGGGGACGCCAGUCUUCGUGGAGCCUCCCUUGAGAUACCACCCUUCGCCAUCUUGAUAUCUAACCGCGGCCCGUUAUCCGGGUCCGGGACCCUGCAUGGUGGGGAGUUUGACUGGGGCGGUCGCCUCCCAAACAGUAACGGAGGCGCGCGAUGGUUGGCUCAGACCGGUCGGAAAUCGGUCGUUGAGUGCAAUGGCAGAAGCCAGCCUGACUGCAAGACUGACAAGUCGAGCAGAGACGAAAGUCGGUCAUAGUGAUCCGGUGGUCCCAAGUGGGAGGGCCAUCGCUCAACGGAUAAAAGGUACUCUGGGGAUAACAGGCUGAUGAUGCCCAAGAGUCCAUAUCGACGGCAUCGUUUGGCACCUCGAUGUCGGCUCAUCUCAUCCUGGGGCUGGAGCAGGUCCCAAGGGUAUGGCUGUUCGCCAUUUAAAGAGGUACGUGAGCUGGGUUUAGAACGUCGUGAGACAGUUCGGUCCCUAUCUGCCGUGGGUGCAGGAGACUUGAGAAGAGUUGACCCUAGUACGAGAGGACCGGGUUGAACGAACCACUGGUGGACCAGUUAUCGUGCCAACGGUAGUGCUGGGUAGCUAUGUUCGGACAGGAUAACCGCUGAAGGCAUCUAAGCGGGAAGCCCCCUUCAAAACAAGGUCUCCCUUGAGGGCCGUGGAAGACGACCACGUCGGUAGGCCAGAGGUGUAAGUGCAGCAAUGCAUUCAGCUGACUGGUACUAAUUGCCCGAUUGGCUUGAUCUG
rnacentral:rRNA from 1 species